rnacentral:lncRNA from 1 species
CCCAUCAAGGGUAUAGCCCGCCCACCCGUUUGUUGGCCAUUUUUCCGCUGGGGGGUGUUGGCACCCCGACCUUCGGGGGCUGAUUUUUGGGCGCGGCUCUGCCCGUGGCCUAUUUUUGGCACACGGAGGCCGCCCGCCAAGUCUGGUGCCAUUCCGAGUCACGCGGACGAACUUCGCCCACGCCCCGCACCAAGGCUAUAGCCCACCCGUUUUUUGGCCAUUUUUCCGCUGGGGGGUCUUGGGACCCCGAACUUCGGGGGCUGUUUUUUGGGCGCGGCUGUGCCCGUGGCCUAUUUUUGGCACACGGAGGCUGCCCGCCAUGUCUGGUGCCAUUCUGAGUCCCGCGGACGAACUUCGCCCACGCCCCCCACGAAGGCUAUAGCCCACCGUUUUUUGGCCAUUUUUCCGCUGGGGGGUCUUGGGACCCCGAACUUCGGGGGCUGUUUUUUGGGCGCGGCUGUGCCCGUGGCCUAUUUUUGGCACACGGAGGCCGCCCGCCAAGUCUGGUGCCAUUCCGAGUCCCACGGACGAACUUCGCCCACGCCCCCCACCAAGGCUAUAGCCCACCGUUUUUUGGCCAUUUUUCCGCUUGGGAGUGUUGGGACCCCGAACUUCGGGGGCUGUUUUUUGGGCGCGCCAGUGGCCGUGGCUUAUUUUGGCACACGGAGGCCGCCCGCCAAGUCUGGUGCCAUUCCGAGUCCCGCGGACGAACUUCGCCCACGCCCCCCACCAAGGCUAUAGCCCACCCGUUUUUUGGCCAUUUUUCCGCUGGGGGGUCUUGGGACCCCGAACUUCGGGGGCUGUUUUUUAAGCGCGGCUGUGCCCGUGGCCUAUUUUUGGCACACGGAGGCCGCCCGCCAAGUCUGGUGCCAUUCCGAGUCCCCCGGACGAACUUCGCCCACGCCCCCCACCAAGGCUAUAGCCCACCCGUUUUUUGGCCAUUUUUCCGCUGGGGGGUCUUGGGACCCCAAACUUCGGGGGCUGUUUUUUGGGCCCGGCUGUGCCCGUGGCCUAUUUUUGGCACACGGAGGCCGCCCGCCAAGUCUGGUGCCAUUCCGAGUCCCGCGGACGAACUUCGCCCACGCCCCCCACCAAGGCUAUAGCCCACCGUUUUUUGGCCAUUUUUCCGCUGGGGGGUCUUGGGACCCCGAACUUCGGGGGCUGUUUUUUGGGCGCGGCUGUGCCCGUGGCCUAUUUUUGGCACACGGAGGCCGCCCGCCAAGUCUGGUGCCAUUCCGAGUCCCGCGGACGAACUUCGCCCACGCCCCCCACCAAGGCUAUAGCCCACCCGUUUUUUGGCCAUUUUUCCGCUGGGGGGUCUUGGGACCCCGAACUUCGGGGGCUGUUUUUUGGGCGCGGCUGUGCCCGUGGCCUAUUUUUGGCACACGGAGGCCGCCCGCCAAGUCUGGUGCCAUUCCGAGUCCCGCGGACGAACUUCGCCCACGCCCCCCACCAAGGCUAUAGCCCACCCGUUUUUUGGCCAUUUUUCCGCUGGGGGGUCUUGGGACCCCGAACUUCGGGGGCUGUUUUUUGGGCGCGGCUGUGCCCGUGGCCUAUUUUGGGCACACGGAGGCCGCCCGCCAAGUCUGGUGCCAUUCCGAGUCCCGCGGACGAACUUCGCCCACGCCCCCCACCAAGGCUAUAGCCCACCCGUUUUUUGGCCAUUUUUCCGCUGGGGGGUCUUGGGACCCCGAACUUCGGGGGCUGUUUUUUGGGCGCGGCUGUGCCCGUGGCCUAUUUUUGGCACACGGAGGCCGCCCGCCAAGUCUGGUGCCAUUCCGAGUCCCGCGGACGAACGAACUUCGCCCACACCCCCCACCAAGGCUAUAGCCCACCGUUUUCUGGCCAUUUUUCUGCUGGGGGGUCUUGGGACCCCGAACUUCGGGGGCUCUUUUUUGGGCGCGGCUGUGCCCGUGGCCUAUUUUUGGCACACGGAGGCCGCCCGCCAAGUCUGGUGCCAUUCCGAGUCCCGCGGACGAACUUCGCCCACGCCCACCACCAAGGCUAUAGCCCACCGUUUUUUGGCCAUUUUUCCGCUGGGGGGUCUUGGGACCCCGAACUUCGGGGGCUGUUUUUUAGGCGCGGCUGUGCCCGUGGCCUAUUUUUGGCACACGGAGGCCGCCCGCCAAGUCUGGUGCCAUUCCGAGUCCCGCGGACGAACUUCGCCCACGCCCCCCACCAAGGCUAUAGCCCACCCGUUUUUUGGCCAUUUUUCCGCCGGGGGGUCUUGGGACCCCGAACUUCGGGGGCUGUUUUUUGGGUGCGGCUGUGCCCGUGGCCUAUUUUUGGCACACGGAGGCCGCCCGCCAAGUCUGGUGCCAUUCCGAGUCCCGCGGACGAACUUCGCCCACGCCCCCCACCAAGGCUAUAGCCCACCGUUUUUUGGCCAUUUUUCCGCUGGGGGUUCUUGGGACCCCGAACUUCGGGGGCUGUUUUUUGGGCGCGGCUGUGCCCGUGGCCUAUUUUUGGCACACGGAGGCCGCCCGCCAAGUCUGGUGCCAUUCCGAGUCCCGCGGACGAACUUCGCCCGCGCCCCCCAACAAGGCUAUAGCCCACCCGUUUUUUGGCCAUUUUUCCGCUGGGGGGUCUUGGGACCCCGAACUUCGGGGGUUGUUUUUUGGGCGCGGCUGUGCCCGUGGCCUAUUUUUGGCACACGGAGGCCGCCCGCCAAGUCUGGUGCCAUUCCAAGUCCCGCGGACGAACUUCGCCCACGCCCCCCACCAAGGCUAUAGCCCACCCGUUUUUUGGCCAUUUUUCCGCUGGGGGGUCUUGGGACCCCGAACUUCGGGGGCUGUUUUUUGGGCGCGGCUGUUCCCGUGGCCUAUUUUUGGCACACGGAGGCCGCCCGCCAAGUCUGGUGCCAUUCCGAGUCCCGCGGACGAACUUCACCCACGCCCCCCACCAAGGCUAUAGCCCACCCGUUUUUUGGCCAUUUUUCCGCUGGGGGGUCUUGGGACCCCGAACUUCGGGGGCUGUUUUUUGGGCGCGGCUGUGCCCGUGGCCUAUUUUUGGCACACGGAGGCCGCCCGCCAAGUCUGGUGCCAUUCCGAGUCCCGCGGACGAACUUCGCCCACGCCCCCCACCAAGGCUAUAGCCCACCGUUUUUUGGCCAUUUUUCCGCUGGGGUGUCUUGGGACCCCGAACUUCGGGGGCUGUUUUUUGGGCGCGGCUGUGCCCGUGGCCUAUUUUUGGCACACGGAGGCCGCCCGCCAAGUCUGGUGCCAUUCCGAGUCCCGCGGACGAACUUCGCCCACGCCCCCCACCAAGGCUAUAGCCCACCGUUUUUUGGCCAUUUUUCCGCUGGGGGGUCUUGGGACCCCGAACUUCGGGGGCUGUUUUUUGGGCGCGGCUGUGCCCGUGGCCUAUUUUUGGCACACGGAGGCCGCCCGCCAAGUCUGGUGCCAUUCCGAGUCCCGCGGACGAACUUCGCCCACGCCCCCCACCAAGGCUAUAGCCCACCCAUUUUUUGGCCAUUUUUCCGCUGGGGGGUCUUGGGACCCCGAACUUCGGGGGCUGUUUUUUGGGCGCGGCUGUGCCCGUGGUCUAUUUUUGGCACACGGAGGCCGCCCGCCAAGUCUGGUGCCAUUCCGAGUCCCGCGGACGAACUUCGCCCGCGCCCCCCACCAAGGCUAUAGCCCACCCGUUUUUUGGCCAUUUUUCCGCUGGGGGGUCUUGGGACCCCGAACUUCGGGGGUUGUUUUUUGGGCGCGGCUGUGCCCGUGGCCUAUUUUUGGCACACGGAGGCCGCCCGCCAAGUCUGGUGCCAUUCCGAGUCCCGCGGACGAACUUCGCCCACGCCCCCCACCAAGGCUAUAGCCCACCCGUUUUUUGGCCAUUUUUCCGCUGGGGGGUCUUGGGACCCCGAACUUCGGGGGCUGUUUUUUGCGCGCGGCUGUGCCCGUGGCCUAUUUUUGGCACACGGAGGCCGCCCGCCAAGUAUGGUGCCAUUCCGAGUCCCACGGACGAACUUCGCCCACGCCCCCCACCAAGGCUAUAGCCCACCCGUUUUUUGGCCAUUUUUCCGCUGGGGGGUCUUGGGACCCCGAACUUCGGGGGCUGUUUUUUGGGCGCGGCUGUGCCCGUGGCCUAUUUUUGGCACACGGAGGCCUACCGCCAAGUCUGGUGCCAUUCCGAGUCCCGCGGACGAACUUCGCCCACGCCCCCCACCAAGGCUAUAGCCCACCCGUUUUUUGGCCAUUUUUCCGUUGGGGGGUCUUGGGACCCCGACCUUCGGCGGCUGUUUUUUGGGCACGGCUGUGCCCGUGGCCUAUUUUUGGCACACGGAGGCUGCCCGCCAAGUCUGGUGCCAUUCCGAGUCCCGCGGACGAACUUCGCCCACGCCCCCCACCAAGGCUAUAGCCCACCCGUUUUUUGGCCAUUUUUCCGCUGGGGGUCUUGGGACCCCGACCUUCGGGGGCUGUUUUUUGGGCGCGGCUGUGUCCGUGGCCUAUUUUUGGCACACGGAGGCCGCCCGCCAAGUCUGGUGCCAUUCCGAGUCCCGCGGACGAACUUCGCCCACGCCCCCCACCAAGGCUAUAGCCCACCCGUUUU